GCUGGGAGAAAUAAGAGCCCUGCAGGCAGUGCCAGGAAGACCAGGGGAACCUAUCUGGUGUCUACGGGAAGAAGGGGAGGGAACCCAACCAACAUCCUGGGUUACCUUCAGUAACUUCCUCUCUUCCCGAAAAAUGUCCUGAGUCAGAGAGACUGCGUGGAGAUUGACCUGCAGGAGCGCGCCUCCUAACAGGGUGGGGUGGGUUCCAAACUCCCAGCAUUCCCUGAACAUGCCAGCAUUCAGAGACUUGAAGAAGAAGGUCUUGGAAGGAGUCCAGCUGUGAGAGUCUCCGCCAGUCAUACCGAAUGGCCACGGUGCCAUUGUUGACCACGGUCAGUUCCGAAGAUGUCUUCUCCCUUUCUAGAGUUUCGAAGGUCAAGCGAACAGCAAUUCCAACAGGCUUCUGGGGGAGGAGAUGUAUGAGAAACGUCUUUGAGGGAGGUUCUGGCCGAGGGUGACCGAUUCAUCCCUGUUGGCGAGGGACUGUUUGGGUUUGGCCCUCCAGGGCCUGGCUGCUCUCAGGGUGCUAUCCCCAUACUCCGACCAUGGCUGCCUCUGAGGCCACUGUCCACGGCAAAAAGAAGGAAGAGAAAACAGAUUUUGCCUCUGA